GCGUUAGUAGUGUAAUGGAAAACACGAUGGCCUCCAAAACCAUUAUUAUUGGUUCGAAUCCAGUCUAGCGCG
rnacentral:tRNA from 1 species